rnacentral:rRNA from 1 species
AUUGAACGCUGGCGGCAGGCUUAACACAUGCAAGUCGAACGAUUGGCGGACGGGUGAGUAAUGCUUGGGAAUCUGGCUUAUGUAGGGGUAUAUCGACGGGACACUGUCGCUAAUACCGCGUACUAUAGGAUGAGCCCAAGUGGGUUUAGGUAGUUGGUGGGGUAAUGGCCUACCAAGCCGACGAUCUCUAGCUGGUCUGAGAGGAUGACCAUCCACACCGGGACUGAGACACGGCCCGGACUCCUGCGGGAGGCAGCGGUGGGGAAUAUUGCGCAAUGGGGGCAACCUGACGCAGCCAUGCCGCGUGAAUGAAGAAGGCCUUCGGGUUGUAAAGUUCUUUCGGUGAGGAGGCGUUAAUCACAGAAGAAGGACCGGCUAACUCCGUGCCAGCAGCCGCGGUAAUAC